rnacentral:rRNA from 1 species
UGGGGGAUAUUGCGCAAUGGGGGCAACCCUGACGCAGCAACGCCGCGUGAAGGAUGAAGGUUUUCGGAUUGUAAACUUCUUUUAUUAAGGACGAAAAUUGACGGUACUUAAUGAAUAAGCUCCGGCUAACUACGUGCCAGCAGCCGCGGUAAUACGUAGGGAGCAAGCGUUGUCCGGAUUUACUGGGUGUAAAGGGUGCGUAGGCGGCUUUGCAAGUCAGAUGUGAAAUCUAUGGGCUCAACCCAUAAACUGCAUUUGAAACUGUAGAGCUUGAGUGAAGUAGAGGCAGGCGGAAUUCCCCGUGUAGCGGUGAAAUGCGUAGAGAUGGGGAGGAACACCAGUGGCGAAGGCGGCCUGCUGGGCUUUAACUGACGCUGAGGCACGAAAGCGUGGGUAGCAAACAGGAUUAGAUACCCUGGUAGUCCACGCUGUAAACGAUGAUUACUAGGUGUGGGGGGUCUGACCCCUUCCGUGCCGGAGUUAACACAAUAAGUAAUCCACCUGGGGAGUACGGCCGCAAGGUUGAAACUCAAAGGAAUUGACGGGGGCCCGCACAAGCAGUGGAGUAUGUGGUUUAAUUCGAAGCAACGCGAAGAACCUUACCAGGUCUUGACAUCCAACUAACGAAGUAGAGAUACAUUAGGUGCCCUUCGGGGAAAGUUGAGACAGGUGGUGCAUGGUUGUCGUCAGCUCGUGUCGUGAGAUGUUGGGUUAAGUCCCGCAACGAGCGCAACCCUUGCUAUUAGUUGCUACGCAAGAGCACUCUAAUAGGACUGCCGUUGACAAAACGGAGGAAGGUGGGGACGACGUCAAAUCAUCAUGCCCCUUAUGACCUGGGCUACACACGUACUACAAUGGAUGUUAACAGAGGGAAGCAAGACAGUGAUGUGGAGCAAACCCCUAAAAACAUUCUCAGUUCAGAUUGCAGGCCGCAACCCGCCUGCAUGAAGAUGGAAUUGCUAGUAAUCGCGGAUCAGAAUGCCGCGGUGAAUACGUUCCC